rnacentral:rRNA from 1 species
AGAGCGAACGCUGGCGGCAGGCCUAACACAUGCAAGUCGAGCGCCCCGCAAGGGGAGCGGCAGACGGGAGAGUAACACGUGGGAACGUACCCUUCAGUUCGGAACAACCCAGGGAAACUUGGGCUAAUACCGAAUACGUCCGUAAGGAGAAAGAUUUAUCGCUGAAGGAUCGGCCCGCGUCUGAUUAGCUAGUUGGUGAGGUAACGGCUCACCAAGGCUACGAUCAGUAGCUGGUCUGAGAGGAUGAUCAGCCUCACUGGGACUGAGACACGGCCCAGACUCCUACGGGAGGCAGCAGUGGGGAAUAUUGGACAAUGGGCGCAAGCCUGAUCCAGCCAUGCCGCGUGGAUGAUGAAGGCCUUAGGGUUGUAAAGUCCUUUCGACGGGGAAGAUAAUGACGGUACCCGUAGAAGAAGCCCGGCUAACUUCGUGCUAGCAGCCGC